GUAGGAUAGAGGCCUACCAUGGUGGUAACGGGUAACGGGGUGUUAGGGCACGACACCGGAGAGGGAGCCUGAGAAACGGCUACCACAUCCAAGGAAGGCAGCAGGCGCGCAAAUUACCCAAUCCCGACACGGGGAGGUAGUGACAAUAAAUAACAAUACAGGGUUCUUUUGGAUCUUGUAAUUGGAAUGAGUACAAUUUAAAUCUCUUAACGAGGAACAAUUGGAGGGCAAGUCUGGUGCCAGCAGCCGCGGUAAUUCCAGCUCCAAUAGCGUAUAUUAAAGUUGUUGCAGUUAAAAAGCUCGUAGUUGGAUUUCGGGAUCAAGGAAUCGGUCAUGCCUUGGUAUGUACUGGUUUUAUUGGUUCUCACCUUCUAAAGAACCAUAAUGUCAUUCAUUUGAUGUUAUGGGGAAUUAGGACUGUUACCUUGAAAAAAUUAGAGUGUUUAAAGCAGGCUUACGCUUGAAUACAUUAGCAUGGAAUAAUGAAAUAGGACAUCAGAUUCUAUUUUGUUGGUUUCUAGGAUCGAUGUAAUGAUUAAUAGGGAUAGUUGGGGGCAUUAGUAUUCAAUUGUCAGAGGUGAAAUUCUUGGAUUUAUUGAAGACUAACUACUGCGAAAGCAUUUGCCAAGGAUGUUUUCAUUAAUCAAGAACGAAAGUUAGGGGAUCGAAGACGAUCAGAUACCGUCGUAGUCUUAACCAUAAACUAUGCCGACUAGGGAUCGGAUGAUGUUAAUUUUAUAAUGACUCAUUCGGCACCUUACGGGAAACCAAAGUGUUUGGGUUC
rnacentral:rRNA from 1 species